UACGUAGGGUGCAAGCGUUGUCCGGAAUUAUUGGGCGUAAAGGGCUCGUAGGCGGUCCAUCGCGUCGGGAGUGAAAAGCUGGGGCUUAACCCCAGUCCUGCUUCCGAUACGGGUGGACUAGAGGUAGGUAGGGGAGAUCGGAAUUCAUGGUGUAGCAGUGAAAUGCGUAGAGAUCAUGAGGAAGACCAGUGGCGAAGGCGGGUCUCUGGACAGUUCCUGACACUGAGGCACGAAGGCCAGGGGAGCAAACGGG
rnacentral:rRNA from 1 species